rnacentral:lncRNA from 1 species
ACCUCCUCCCUCCCGCCCCACCGCCGCGCCCCGCGGAUGAUGCUCGGCACGGAGGGGUUCCCCCCCUCCCUCCUCUCCCUCCCACCUCUCCUUUCCCCUCCCCUCCCCUCAGCCCUCGGUACUCAGCCCUUGACUUUGCCGAAGGUGCCGACCCCCAGCGUAUCCCCCAGCACGUAGUGGCCGAUCUUCACCCUCCCGUCGUGCUUCUGCUGCUUCUCGGCCAUCUUCGCCCCCCGGCGGAGGACCACAAUGCGCAGGGCCGGCACGCUCUGAGGAUGCAGGAGAGCUUUGCUGAUGUUCCUUCAGAGCUUGAAAUAGUUUUCUUCCCCAAAGAUGGAUGCUGAGCACUUUCAAGCUGGCCAUUUAGAGAGUUUGUAACCAGAAAUCAAUCCAGGCAGAAAAAAUGUACAUCUACCUGUUUACAUCAUAAACCACAAACGCGUUUGCAUCCUGCAACAAACACCUGGGCAACAUCCAGAGGAGACAUUCCCAACGUGUUAACUACUGCCAGCGCUGGGAUCCUGUAACCACAGCACAUGGAGAUGAUGGGAACUCAGUUAAAUUAAGGAGAACCACCAAGAUUGUGAAACGUGGCAGCAGGACAAGAGCUGGUUGCAACACAGGCUAGACUUUAGGUCUGUUGGCCAAUCGAACACAUCUGAUGCUGGUGAUUGGGAUGCCAGAGACAGUUCCCUGACUGCUGAUCUACCCUGUGGGUCACUGAGGCACGUUCUUGAGGGCUGAUCCUCCUGGCCUGCACAAAUCUGCAUGUCCAAUUUCCCGAAUGGCAGAAAAUUCUACAUUAAGAUGACAUUUAUCAGCUAAUCUUUUAAAAGAAAUUAACUGGGUAUUUAUGAGGCUUAGACUUAGGGUAUCAUAGAAUCAUUAAGGUUGGAAAAGACCACCAAGACCAGCAAGUCCGACUGUCAACUGAUUCCCCACCAUGCCCACCAACUACAUCCUUCUGUGCCACAAUCUAACUUCUCAGUGGCACCAGGGAGAGCACAACCAAGCUCCUUUUGGAUCCCACUUGUAUCUUGUUCCCUUACUGCAAGGACAGACCCAAGCCCAACCCUGGCAAACAUUUCCUACCAGGGCAGCCACCACUGUGCAGGCUGGGUGAUGAGGCACCAGUGGGUGCAAGGAAACCCUAAAGCCCACAGGGGUCAGGGCUGGCAAUGCCCCACAUCCCUCCAUGCUGCUCAGCCCUUCUGCUGAUGUUCUGCAGGAGAGCAGCAGCUGAUGGUGCUAAAAAUACCCUUGGGCAGGGUAGCAGUGGUUCAGCACUGGGCUUCCCAGAAGAGUGCUGGUAUUUCAGCCUUGUGACUCCAGCUCAGGCCACUUGAUGAACAGCAUGCAACUUUGCUCUGAUUUCCCCAUUUGGUAGGGAACAAUCUCAGUAACGGAUGGAUAAGUCAGCAAACAGCAUAGUUCGCUUUCUUAUUUUAGGUCUCCCAUAGACAUAGAUAUGAAUGACUCUGAAAUAUAGGCAGCACCUGGUCCUUCCCUGCUGUCACAUUGUCCCCUUGAUGGAAAAGCAAAGGAGAUUCCUAUACAAGAUCCCUCUGUAGGUCUGAGGAGGCAGCCGUAAAUGUCCGACCAUAUGCGUGCCAAACAUCCAACCACUCUGCAACCUCACUUUGCCCAUUGCACGUGGGGCAAGAUGGGAGGGAUUCCCCAAAUCUGCAAGCACAUCCCAUAAAAUACCCCGGACACCAGCUGAGAGCACCACCUGUCAGUGGAGUGCUUUGUUCCCAAACCAGGUCCUGCUGGCACAUCCCUCUGACACACUCUACAGAAGAAAAAGUAAAACUAGGAACUUUUUGACUUCUUAUUUUGCAGAAGUGUGACCUUUCGACCUGAAUCACGAUGAGUGGUUAUGAGGAAGAGCUGCUCUCACUUCUAAAUUAUUGCCAUGCAAUGAGCAGGUUUCCAUGGGGUAGCUGAAGGCAUGUCCUGAGGUACAAGGGAUACAAGCAUCCCAUUCUUGCUCUACUUUGCACUAAAGGACUGGUCUUAGAGGAGCUUAUUCUCUAAAAAUGACCUGACUGGCUGAAUAAAACACAAUUUCUGUUUUAAUAUUGUUGUGUUAUGAAACACUGCAAUAGAGGCACAAAUGUGGGCAAGAACAAGUUUUACUGCAGACGCUUUAUCUGCUGAUAGAUUGUCCCAGUGCUGCAUUCCUCAUUCCCUGGGGGUCUGGUCCAGCUCAGAUUGGAAGAUAGUGAAGAUCUUGGGAGAUCUCCAGUAGUGUGGGUCAAAAUUCACUGAUUACAGAAAUGCAAUUGGUUCAGUUGAUCUGCAUAAAGAAAAAAACCACAGCCCAUAGUGGGAAUGUAGAGUAGGAUUGAGAGGAAAAGCUGAGCCCUAAUAGGGAGGCUGGUGCAUGGUGUAUUCAAUAAUUGCAUUUAUGAAUAAACAAUUAAGUAUUACCAAUGAAUCUCUUGCAUUUUAUUGACCCAGGCACAGAAGCUGCUUUUUGGCACUGAUGACUUGCUCAGUUCACGCUUGACAAUGGGGAAUUGUAGUGGCUGUUCCCUUAAGAAAUCAUCCAAGAUUGGGACUUAUUUGUGCGCCAUUGCUUGCAUCAAUUAACAGUACAAUCUUUUUGUUAUGAAAACGCAAACAUUAGUAGCCUGAGGAGCCUUGUAAAUGCAAAUAUAAAACUUUAAUUUCAGUAACCCCCACUUUCCCUUCAAGUACAAUAAAGGCUCUUUUUUUUUUUUUUUUUCAUUUGCUGUUACAACGACGGGUCUUUAUUAUUAUUAUUAUUAUUUUUCCUCUUUCUCUUCACUUUACAUUGAGUUUAACUCAGGGGAUUUCAGUAGGGAUAGUUUUCCAUCAGCAGAUAUGGGGUGGCUGCAGCCGGUGCUGGGAUCUGUGGGCUCCUUGGGGCAGGUCAGUGCCAACCAUAGGGAGGGGAUCAUGGCUGGGCACUGGGGCCAGCCUUGGGCAGGGCAGAAUUCUCACGUGAGGAUUCUUUCCACUCUCUCCAGGCAGCUGGAGAGCCUAAAUUUGGCAUCGUGUUUCUGUUGCGAGAAUGAGAAGGAGAGAGAGACCUUGAAACGUGCCCUUGGCCAUGGCCCCGGUUGGGUGACCAUUGCUGCAGGGAAUGCUUUGGGGUCAAAACUGAUGGUUUUACUGUGAAGUGGUAUGAAAGAGAGAGCUGCCUUCUUGAAAGCAAGGUGGGAGAUGGCACCUGAGUCCGUGAUGAAAGAAUUGGACAAAAACCCAAGGUCUGCUUUCCCCUCUCUUUUUUACACCACGCAUGUACAAGUAAGACAGCCGCUUUGCUUUCUUCCUCCCAUGUUGGCCCAAGUGUGCCUGGGUAUGUUUCUAAACAGAAAACCUGCCCUCAGCAAGGUGCAGUCUGCAGCUCCUCAGGUUCCC